CUUAUUCAACAACUAUCAUAUAUUGAACAAAUUCAAUGUUUCAUCUAAUUUUUAUUUUGUUGAUUCACAUUUUGUCAUCAGCUUUAUAGUAAUUGUUAUAAAUUACUCAAUUUCUCUUUUCAGCGGAUCUUCCGUAUCUGAAGGUACCACUUCACACAGUCAUCAAACUAACACCAGUGGCAUAUGGUUGUAGAGUUGAAUUUUGUCCAUUAAAUAUCAAGGCUGUGGACACUCACCGGGACAAACCUUCAACAGUAAUUUCUAAAGGGUUCAACAACAAAUCUCCACUUUCUGACAAUCCUGACCACAUUUUGAAGGAAUAAGACACUAUACGGCUCAUCUAGUUAUGUAUCUGAAUUUCCAGCUAAUCAACACUAUCAUCCAGAUUUGUACACCUGUCAUAAUCAUUAUCAAAGAUAUUUCAAAGAAAUUUACAUUUUGUCAAUAAAACGAUGUCUUUUCAAUUAACUUC